rnacentral:rRNA from 1 species
AUGAUUGAUCCCUACUUUACGAAAAUAUCAACACCGGCUACCAAUGUCAACAUUGACCAUCAGACAGCUAUUGACAUCACAAUUGACCAGCAGGGGGCUAUUCAGUCAGCCAGCACUGCCAAUGGAGGAGAAAGCAAUGGAUCUUGUAUUUUUGUUAAGCAAUUAAUGGAAAGGGUAGCUCGGCAGAGAGCAGAAAUCAUCAGAAAUAGACAGCAAAGAACUCUUCAAUCCUCCAGGACUACCAGUGGAGCUGAAAGCAAACCUCUAAUUAUCCAUGGCCUGUUGAUUCUUGCCAAGCUUGCAGUUAACCCGGACAACUGCAAGCACAUAUAUGAUUACAAGGGUCUCUUCUCCAAAAUCAUAUCCCCAGUAAAAAAUAAAGUGUAUGAGAUCCUCAGAGAUGAUGGUAUCACCAUGGAAAUAACUGAGAAGGCACUGGAAGUGGUGAGCAUGCUUGUCAGUGGCACAGAUGAAACCAAUGAAAAGAUACGCCAAGAUAUUUGUAGCAACGGGAUAGUAGCGCACAAUAUUUGCUCAAUCUUGGAAAAGGACCACAUGUACGACAAGCUAAAGGUUCCAGCAACAAAGAUCCUUACGGAGCUAUCUUUGGAUACGUCCACUCGAGCUACCCUUGGACUUGAUGGCGUAGCUGAUUUCAUUAACGACUUGAUGGACAUCUUCUUUGAUGCUGCUAAUGAGAGUGAAGGACUCAAGAAGACCGCAGGUGAAGCAUUAGCAGUACUGGCAAUGGACAAUGCCAAUUGUAUGACGAUCAUGAAUUUCAGCACAGAGACAAAUACUUCAGUUCAGCUUCUCACAGAUAUGAUUCCUGCGGUAAACCAUAGAUUAUAUCAAACUCCCAUAGCACAACUGCUGAUGCAACUUUGUGCAAAUUCUAAUCCUGCAGAAAGGGAGGAGCAUCUCGCAUCAGUCAAAACAAAUCUACAUGAGGUGCUCAAAGUUAUAUGCAAGGAGAAAAUGCAAAUCAGGUGGGUUCUCCACAGCACAACUUAG